rnacentral:RNase_P_RNA from 1 species
AUUUUUGGGUAAUCGCGGUGUAUUUUUAAUAUGCUGAGGAAAGUCCAUGCUCGCACAGUCUGAGAUGCCUGUAGUGUUCGUGCUUAGCGAAACCAUAAGCUAAGGUACCAAUUAUUUUGGUAACGGCAGAAAAACAAGCUAAGGAGAAAUCUAUGCUUUAGUAUUCUUGAAAGUGCCACAGUGACGAAGCAUUUUGAGAAAUCAAAAUGGUGGAACGCGGUAAACCCCUCGAGCGAGCAACCCAAACAAUGGUAGGGGCGCUUUUUCUAAGGAAAUGAACGAUGAAAGAGCCGAAUAAUUUCGGAGAUAGAUGAUUACCACUGAACUUGUUUACCUGAAACAAGGAAUGUACAAAACAUGGCUUACAGAA